rnacentral:rRNA from 1 species
UACGUAGGUGGCAAGCGUUGUCCGGAAUUAUUGGGCGUAAAGCGCGCGCAGGCGGUCCUUUAAGUCUGAUGUGAAAGCCCACGGCUCAACCGUGGAGGGUCAUUGGAAACUGGGGGACUUGAGUACAGAAGAGGAAAGCGGAAUUCCACGUGUAGCGGUGAAAUGCGUAGAGAUGUGGAGGAACACCAGUGGCGAAGGCGGCUUUCUGGUCUGUAACUGACGCUGAGACGCGAAAGCGUGGGGAGCGAACAGG